rnacentral:rRNA from 1 species
AACGAACGCUGGCGGCAUGCCUAACACAUGCAAGUCGAACGAGAUCUUCGGGUCUAGUGGCGCACGGGUGCGUAACGCGUGGGAAUCUGCCCUUUGGUUCGGAAUAACAGUUGGAGAGGACUGCUAAUACCGGAUGAUGACGAAAGUCCAAAGAUUUAUCGCCAGAGGAUGAGCCCGCGUAGGAUUAGCUAGUUGGUGUGGUAAAGGCGCACCAAGGCGACGAUCCUUAGCUGGUCUGAGAGGAUGAUCAGCCACACUGGGACUGAGACACGGCCCAGACUCCUACGGGAGGCAGCAGUGGGGAAUAUUGGACAAUGGGCGAAAGCCUGAUCCAGCAAUGCCGCGUGAGUGAUGAAGGCCUUAGGGUUGUAAAGCUCUUUUACCCGGGAUGAUAAUGACAGUACCGGGAGAAUAAGCUCCGGCUAACUCCGUGCCAGCCGCCGCGGUAA